UUAGAAAAUUUAACCGAACUCGGUUGAAUUUCAACCGAGUUUUUAUCUGCUGAACGCUCGGUUGGGUGUUCGGUUGAAAGUGCAUUAACCGAGUGAUCGGUAUAGAUUUUGUUUGAACCAAAACGUCAAACUUACCGAAGCAGUCGGUUGGAGCUGAAGCAAAAUUAAUAAACCGACGGUCGGUUAUACAUCCUGGAUGUUUUGGAAAUGUUAUUCGAAUACCAAUGAUUAAUGAGCUAUCAAAUAAUUAACUACGCGAUUACAUUUUUCAUUGCAUGUUUUAUUAAUCAUACUUGUAAGCCAUGUCAUAAUAAAUGAAUUUUGGAAUUUCGAUUGGGAGAAUCGUUUCUAUGUAGCUGGCAAAGCUCGCCCGCUUCCGAUGUUGCGUUGGGUAUCAACUGGAACAAAGUAGGAGAAACAUAACUAAUCGCACAUUAUUUUGCUCAACGAUUUUGAUAUCUCAAUGGUAUAAGCACUUACCAGCAUCUCCAUGUAGAUUCCUCCUAAAUCCGCCAACACAAAGCUUGUUAUUUGCACAAAACACCGGUAGUUUCAUAAUUUAGUCUAACUGAUGAAAACUGAGAAAAACAAACAUGGCCGCGCGAUUGUUCAGCUCGUCAGCUUGGUGAACCGAGUUUUCUCGGUAUCUUGCACCGAGUUUGUAUAUUUUCAAUGAGAACCGUCUUUUUCGGUAGUGUUGACGUAUGAAUCUGUCAUUUUUACCGAGCAUUCGCUUUUAAUCGACAGAAUAUCUGGCAUGUACCGAAUUUCUCGGUUUGCCAAAUGCAACCGAUCGAUUUCGUUAAAAAAUUAAACCGAGUUCGGUAUUAAAAACUAAGUGUGAAGUAUACUUGAUUAGCCUAAAAAGUUAAACUGAGCCAGAGUUAUACGAGGUUAUUUUAAGUAACACUAAGUUAUUCACCGCGUCGACGAAAACAGUUUUCCCCUCUGAAUCACUAACGGCAAAUGAAUUUGCCUGCAAUACUAAAAUUUAGUAAUGCGGCGAUUUCCGCUGAUUUUUAUCGAGAAAUGACUCCAUUAUCAACCAUAUUUACCACCGGCCCACGCACGCAAUAAUCUGAAUGACCAUUGUCAGCGUUUUCCCGCAAGAUUCAUCGUUGUGCAACCGAUUCCGGAAACAUCCUUAGACAGAGAUCCGUACUUGAUCCGUAGAAAAGAAAUCCACAGAUUGUGCCAAUGUCCGAGGUACCUAUCUUUCCGCCACAGGAAGUGCACUUUCUGACCGCCACGAUCGGAUUUCUGGCCCACGCCGUGGCCUACGGAAUGGGUAUCCGGUAGCUGUUACCCAGCAGCCGUUCCGACGUCGAAAUUAUCUUGUUCCUGUCCAUUAUGCUACACAAGGCUGUCGCGGCAGAAGAGAAGGUCCUGGAUGUCACCGUUAUCGCGAAGCUGUUUUCCGGGGAUUCACUUGAUAUAUUUUAUAAUUAGAUUUUAAGAUUUUAUUAUUUAUUUGAUUAAAUAAAGUUGCAGUUGCGAGAA